GAGCAAGCCCCCUCCCACAGGGAUCUCCAGUGAGAUGAAAUUUUUGUGUGCACAGUAAACCCCUGUGGGAGGGGGCUUGCUC
rnacentral:antisense_RNA from 1 species